UGGGAUUUGCCAAUGGGCGAAAGCCUGAUGCAGCAACGCCGCGUGCGGGAUGAAGGCCCUAGGGUUGUAAACCGCUUUCAGCAGGGAAGAAAAUGACGGUACCUGUAGAAGAAGGUGCGGCCAACUACGUGCCAGCAGCCGCGGUAAUA
rnacentral:rRNA from 1 species